AUGGGCGCCGACUUGUUUAGCUACAUCGACAACACCAUCCAGGAGCCUCCCAAGAUCAUCACCACCAAAGAUAAAGACGGCAAAGAUCAGGUCAUCCCCAACCCUGCUUAUGCCCCCUGGCUUGUCCAGGAUCAACAGAUUGUUGCUUACCUUCUGCGCAAUCUGUCCAAGGAAGUCCUUGUUCAAGUUGCAUCGCUCGAGAUGUCGCAUGCGAUAUGGACUGCCUUGGCCACCAUGUUCUCCGAUGUUUCACUGUCCAGGACAAACAAUCUUCAUGCCGCGCUCACCAACACCCAGAAAGGCUCCCUCUCGGCCUCGGCAUACUUCAAUCACAUGCGCUCCCUCUCUGAUGAGCUCGCGGCGGCGGGCAAACCACUCGGGGAGGGGGAGCUCAUCUCCUUCAUCAUCACCGGACUUGACAUGGAUUAUCAACCCAUCAUCUCCGCACUGGACGUCCGCACCGAGCCCAUCACCGUCGACAUCCUCUUCUCCCUCGUGGCAAACUUCGACCAACGGGUCGAGAUGUUUCAGGGCAAUGGCAAUGGGGGCUUCAAAUCCUCAGCCAACGUUGCAUCAUGGGGUCGCUCUGGUGGUGGCAAAGGAGGCUAUUGA
rnacentral:rRNA from 1 species